AAAGGCUUGGUUAGGCGGAAAACCAAAAAUGAUGGGCAGAAGGCUCUAUCAAUUGUCAUGGCUUCCGUCCAUCUUCAGAAUCGCCACAAGUCAAGGAUUCUCCAAUGCAGGCAAUCCGUUUCGUAAUGGCUCAGCUUUCUCCCAUCUCCUUCAAGCCCAAGCAUCGAGAUCAUAUGCUCGCAGUAGACAUUACUAUGAUCUAUUUAAGGGUCGUGUACCUGGAGCCAAGGAAUUCAGGAAAACUUGGGCUAAAGAAAUGGAAGAUGAGGAUAACUGUUUAUGGACUGGAAGUGAGGACGAGAGUGAGCCCGAAAAUGGACCGAGUUCUUUGAAGAAGGAAAUCAGAAAGGCCAAACAGCGAGCUAAAGAACACUCAGAUCGAAUUGAUGCAGAUGACAGUGAUGAACUAAGAAGUGUGUGGUCUGGUAGUGAUGAAGAGAAGACGUUGUGGACUGGUAGCGAAGGAGAUGAUGAUGAUGACAUUCCUACAGAAGCGUACCCGAACGAGAAGAGUGAUGAGUAUAUAGAUAAACUGUUUGAGUUUGAUGAAAAGCCAAAGUAUCGAACGCUCUCAGAGGCUUUAAAAGACGAGGAGGAACCAGAAGAGUUAUCGCCCGGAAAGCAAGCUAGGAAGCUUGCAGUUGAAAAUGCCCUUAAGAAAUUGAAGAAAGGACCUGAUGGUAGAUACACCAAUGUGUGGGAGGUCAUGAGCGAUCUGGACAUUCUAAUUGGGGCUUUUGAGAACAUCAUUUCAGGGCCAGAAUAUGCUGAACUCAGGCAGGGGGGACCUAGGAAGUUGAAUAUGCAGUUUUUUAAGGACAUUCAAGCUCGCAUGAGAGAUCCAAACUAUAAAUUCUCUCCCGAACUCAAGUUAAAACCGAAGAGCAAAGUGGUACCGAGAAAGAAGUGGCAGAAGGUAGAAUCUAGACGUAGAAAAGCCCGGAAGCGCUAGCUAAGCUGUAGCCUUUUCUAGGCAUCCAAACUUUUGUAGGUGACUGAAGAAAUGGAGCUGGCAUUUGUAGAAUUUAAUGCAGAAAAGUGUUUCAGCUUUAAUUUGAGAAUACUUGUUCUUGCAGGGACAAAAGCUCUGCAUGUUUGCCUGAUUUCACUAGCCUCAUGAUCACUAUUUCAGCAUCAACAUUCCCAGAUACUGUAACCUUCUGCUCUUCAACAUCCAUGCUCACCUGAUAAACCCCUGAGUAAAAAGUAAAAACCCCACACAACACUAUAGUUUAGGCAACCAAAGAAUGGCCUUUUUUUAGGAGUACUAAAGUAGAACAUGGAAGAUGGAACAAGAAGGUUUCAUACCUUCAAUCUUCUUGAGGAGUUUCUUCACUUUCUUCCUGCACCCUACACAGUUAAUCUGAACUUUGAGAACAUGGGUCUGCAAAAACAAGAAGAAAAGGACAGAAUCAGAGAGGCAAAUGAGAAAAGUGAAGAUGGGCAUAACUUUGUAUAAAGGAAGGGAAUGUGAGUGUGACCUGAAUCUUCAGAAACUCAAUUUCAUCAAUAGCAGACAUUGCUAGCAGUGGUUUAGUUGCUUUGUUCUCUUUUGGCAAAUGAAGGGUGUAUUGCUUCUCCCUACUUUUAGAAUAGCUUGUUUAUACUGCAAUGAUAUUACAUUAUUUUGCCACACUAA